CCCCUUCCCAUGUGAUCAGGCACCAACUUAGUUCCAAAUGCAAUCAGAAAUUCCCAUCUCAUCUCUUAUCCCUUUGAUCAAAACCACCUCAAAAACUAUCUCCUCUCUCACACUCUCGAAUUCUCUCAAACCCGCCUCAUGAACACGAAACAUGAAACCCAAAUUGCAUUGAUCAAAACCCAGACGAGCGUCUCGCUUCUCUCAAAGUCUGGAACCUAGAAUCUGCCAUAUCCACUUCCAAAAUUCACAUACAGACACAACCCUUCACUUACCUAUGGCCUUUUGUGUCAGCAAUUUGCGGUGGUCGACAAAGCCAGGCAUACAUGACUUUGAGUGGGCAGUGCAGGAAUUGAAUUGGGUUUGGUCCUGAAAUCGGUUGCUGCUUUGGUUCUGGAGUUGUUGAUUUUUGUGUUUAGAAAGUGAUGAUGAAGGCUGCUUUGGUUCAGUACUUCCACUACUUUGGAAGUUUGGAUAAUUGGAUUUGUUGGUUAAUUCACUUAAUUGUAACUUUUCAAUUUGUAAGUUUGAAGUUUGAUGUUUGAAAUGGUUGUAACUUAGCUUAAAAGUGAACAAAUUUGUAUUUCUGAUGUCUUUGCACUAUGAAAGUUUUUAUGCAGCCA